rnacentral:rRNA from 1 species
GGGGAAUAUUGGACAAUGGGGGGAACCCUGAUCCAGCGAUGCCGCGUGUGUGAAGAAGGCCUGCGGGUUGUAAAGCACUUUAGUUGGGGAGGAAGGUUAGAUGGUUAAGAGCUGUUUAAUUUGACGUUACCCAAAGAAUAAGCACCGGCUAACUCUGUGCCAGCAGCCGCGGUAAUACAGAGGGUGCAAGCGUUAAUCGGAAUUACUGGGCGUAAAGGGCGCGUAGGCGGAUAAUCAAGCUGGAUGUGAAAGACCCGGGCUUAACCUGGGGGUGUCAUUCAUAACUGGUUAUCUAGAGUAUGGGAGAGGAGAGUGGAAUUCACAGUGUAGCGGUGAAAUGCGUAGAUACUGUGAGGAACAUCGAUGGCGAAGGCAGCUCUCUGGCCUGAUACUGACGCUGAGGCGCGAAAGCAUGGGUAGCGAACAG